UAAUGUCUAGGAAUAUUUCCCAAGUUUGGUGAGUGGAUUUUCUCAACACUCGUUUGGCACUUGCAAAUUCUGAAUAUAAUGUUUGGACACUUUCAUGAUCUCUCUUUUAUUCACAAUAUACAAAAAAAGAAGAAGAUCUAUUUCACAUUGUCCUGGGCUUUCAAAGAGACAAUAUACAAUAAAUUCACAAUAUUUUUACAGCGUUAAGUUUCCAUAAUGAUUCCCAUAAGUUGCAACAACUAUUUCUCAUGCACAUCUCUCAACAAAGCCACUACCACUUUUAAGAAAAAUUCCUUCAGCUCUUCGCAGUUGCAAUUCUUCAAACCAGAGAUCAUCUAAAUCGCACAUCGUCUAUCAGCAAUAGCAAUUAUUUUUCAUGUUAUUUGCCACGUAAAAUUAACCACGCUACAACGGAAUCUAGAAGCAGCGUAAGAAUAAAAGGGUGAGAACUGACCGUUGUGGAUAGCUUCCAUUGUUAUUUUUUCUGUUAUGUCAUCAAAUUAGGAUGCUUUUCGCGAUGAACACUACCUCUUCAUGAUGUCAUCCUUGUCUUUUUUCACGGUGAAAUCCCACAGGUCCCCCGUAUUUUCG
rnacentral:lncRNA from 1 species